GAUGAACGCUGGCGGCGUGCCUAAUACAUGCAAGUCGAGCGAACAGACGAGGAGCUUGCUCCUCUGACGGUAGCGGCGAACGGGUGAGUAACAAGUGGAUAACCUACCUAUAAGACUGGGAUAACUUCGGGAAACCGGAGCUAAUACCGGAUAAUAUAUUGAACCGCAUGGUUCAAUAGUGAAAGACGGUUUUGCUGUCACUUAUAGAUGGAUCCGCGCCGCAUUAGCUAGUUGGUAAGGUAGCGGCUUACCAAGGCAACGAUGCGUAGCCGACCUGAGCGUGUGAGCGGCCACACUGGAACUGAGACACGGUCCAGACUCCUACGCGAGGCAGCAGUAGGGAAUCUUCCGCAAUGGGCGAAAGCCUAACGCAGCAACGCCGCGUGAGUGAUGAAGGUCUCCGGAUCGGAAAACUCUGUUAUUAGCGAAGACCAAAUGUGUAAGUAACUAGGCACGUCUUGACGGUAGCUAAUCAGAAAGCCCCGGCUAACUACGUG
rnacentral:rRNA from 1 species